CCGGAGGGUGCAAGCGUUAAUCGGAAUUACUGGGCGUAAAGCGUGCGUAGGUGGUUCGUUAAGUCCGUUGUGAAAGCCCCGAGCUCAACUUGGGAAUUGCAGUGGAUACUGGCGAGCUGGAGUGCGGUAGAGGAAGGUGGAAUUCCCGGUGUAGCGGUGAAAUGCGUAGAGAUCGGUAGGAACACCAGUGGCGAAGGCGGUCUCCUGGGGCAUUCUUGACGCUGAGGCGCGAAAGCUGGGGGAGCGAACGGGA
rnacentral:rRNA from 1 species